rnacentral:rRNA from 1 species
GAUGAACGCUGGCGGCGUGCUUAACACAUGCAAGUCGAACGAAGCAUUUACGACAGAUUUCUUCGGAUUGAAGUUGUUUAUGACUGAGUGGCGGACGGGUGAGUAACGCGUGGGUAACCUGCCUUGUACUGGGGGAUAGCAGCUGGAAACGGCUGGUAAUACCGCAUAAGCGCACAAUGUUGCAUGACAUGGUGUGAAAAACUCCGGUGGUAUAAGAUGGACCCGCGUCUGAUUAGCUAGUUGGUGAGAUAACAGCCCACCAAGGCGACGAUCAGUAGCCGACCUGAGAGGGUGACCGGCCACAUUGGGACUGAGACACGGCCCAGACUCCUACGGGAGGCAGCAGUGGGGAAUAUUGCACAAUGGAGGAAACUCUGAUGCAGCGACGCCGCGUGAGUGAAGAAGUAAUUCGUUAUGUAAAAGCUCUAUCAGCAGGGAAGAUAAUGACGGUACCUGACUAAGAAGCACCGGCUAAAUACG